rnacentral:rRNA from 1 species
UACAGAGGUCUCAAGCGUUGUUCGGAUUCAUUGGGCGUAAAGGGUGCGUAGGUGGCGCCAUAAGUCAGGUGUGAAAUCUCGGGGCUCAACCCCGAAACUGCACUUGAUACUGUGGUGCUCGAGUCCGGAAGAGGAGUGUGGAAUUCCUGGUGUAGCGGUGAAAUGCGCAGAUAUCAGGAGGAACACCAAUGGCGAAGGCAGCACUCUGGGACGUGACUGACGCUGAGACGCGAAAGCGUGGGGAGCAAACAGG